AUAAAGGAGAAGGAGUUGAACCAACAUCAUAAAACCCAAAAUUUUACGUAUUUCAAUUAUACUAUCCUCUA
rnacentral:tRNA from 1 species